GAGUUUGAUUCUGGCUCAGGAUGAACGCUGACAGAAUGCUUAACACAUGCAAGUCUACUUGAAUUUGGGUUUUUUAACUUCGAUUUGGGUGGCGGACGGGUGAGUAACGCGUAAAGAACUUGCCUCACAGCUAGGGACAACAUUUGGAAACGAAUGCUAAUACCUAAUAUUAUGAUUUUAGGGCAUCCUAGAAUUAUGAAAGCUAUAUGCGCUGUGAGAGAGCUUUGCGUCCCAUUAGCUAGUUGGAGAGGUAACGGCUCACCAAGGCGAUGAUGGGUAGCCGGCCUGAGAGGGUGAUCGGCCACAAGGGGACUGAGACACGGCCCUUACUCCUACGGGAGGCAGCAGUGGGGAAUAUUGGACAAUGGACCAAGAGUCUGAUCCAGCAAUUCUGUGUGCACGAUGAAGUUUUUCGGAAUGUAAAGUGCUUUCAGUUGGGAAGAAAAAAAUGACGUCCACA
rnacentral:rRNA from 1 species